rnacentral:rRNA from 1 species
ACGGGAGGCAGCAGUGGGGAAUAUUGGGCAAUGGGCGAAAGCCUGACCCAGCAACGCCGCGUGAAGGAAGAAGGUCUUCGGAUUGUAAACUUCUUUUAUGAGGGACGAAGGACGUGACGGUACCUCAUGAAUAAGCCACGGCUAACUACGUGCCAGCAGCCGCGGUAAUACGAGGGGUGCAAGCGUUGUUCGGAAUCACUGGGCGUAAAGGGAGCGCAGGCGGAGAUGCAAGCGGACUGUACAAUACCGGGGCCCAACCCCGGACCUGCAGUCCGGACUGCACCUCUUGGAUAGUUCAGGGGCAAGCGGAAUUCCUGGUGUAGCGGUGGAAUGCGUAGAGAUCAGGAAGAACACCGAUGGCGAAGGCAGCUUGCUGGGGACUAAUCGACGCUCAUGCUCGAAAGUGCGGGUAGCAAACAGGAUUAGAUACCCUGGUA